GCUCCGGUGGCCUAGUGGUUAAAGCGUCCGCCUCGGAUGCGGGAGGUCACGGGUUCGAUCCCCGAUUGAGUCA